AGGAAGAAAGGGUUUUCGGCUUCGUAAAAGCUCUUGUUGUUAAAGAAAGAACCGUGGGUAAGGAGUUACCUGUUUACCCCAGUGGCCGGUAUUUAACCCAGAAAAGCCACGGGCUAAACUACGUGCCCAGCAGCCGCGGUUAAUACGUAGGUGGGCAAGCGUUAUCCCGGAUUUAUUGGGCGUAAAGCGAGCGCAGGCGGUCUUUUAAGUCUAAUGUGAAAGCCUUCGGCUCAACCGAAGAAGUGCAUUGGAAACUGGGAGACUUGAGUGCAGAAGAGGACAGUGGAACUCCAUGUGUAGCGGUGAAAUGCGUAGAUAUAUGGAAGAACACCAGUGGCGAAGGCGGCUGUCUGGUCUGCAACUGACGCUGAGGCUCGAAAGCAUGGGUAGCGAACAGGAUUAGAUACCCUGGUAGUCCAUGCCGUAAACGAUGAUUACUAAGUGUUGGAGGGUUUCCGCCCUUCAGUGCUGCAGCUAACGCAUUAAGUAAUCCGCCUGGGGAGUACGACCGCAAGGUUGAAACUCAAAAGAAUUGACGGGGGCCCGCACAAGCGGUGGAGCAUGUGGUUUAAUUCGAAGCUACGCGAAGAACCUUACCAGGUCUUGACAUCUUCUGACAGUCUAAGAGAUUAGAGGUUCCCUUCGGGGACAGAAUGACAGGUGGUGCAUGGUUGUCGUCAGCUCGUGUCGUGAGAUGUUGGGUUAAGUCCCGCAACGAGCGCAACCCUUAUUACUAGUUGCCAGCAUUAAGUUGGGCACUCUAGUGAGACUGCCGGUGACAAACCGGAGGAAGGUGGGGACGACGUCAAAUCAUCAUGCCCCUUAUGACCUGGGCUACACACGUGCUACAAUGGAUGGUACAACGAGUCGCGAGACCGCGAGGUUAAGCUAAUCUCUUAAAACCAUUCUCAGUUCGGACUGUAGGCUGCAACUCGCCUACACGAAGUCGGAAUCGCUAGUAAUCGCGGAUCAGCAUGCCGCGGUGAAUACGUUCCCGGGCCUUGUACACACCGCCCGUCACACCAUGAGAGUUUGUAACACCCAAAGCCGGUGGGGUAACCUUUUAGGAGCUAGCCGUCUAAGGUGACAGAAUGUCAGUA
rnacentral:rRNA from 1 species